ensembl:snRNA U6 U6 spliceosomal RNA
CUCCUUUUCAAAUAAGUAAAAAAAUAGCUAUAGAGAAAAGAUCAGUAUGGCCCCUGCUGAAGGAUGACAUCUAAAUUCAUAAAGUUCCGCAUAUUUUU